rnacentral:rRNA from 1 species
GACGAACCGAGCGAACGUUGUUCGGAAUCACUGGGCUUAAAGGGCGCGUAGGCGGGUGCUCAAGUCCGGGGUGAAAUCCCACAGCUCAACUGUGGAACUGCCUCGGAUACUGGGCGUCUCGAGUGUGGUAGGGGUAUGCGGAACUAUCGGUGGAGCGGUGAAAUGCGUUGAUAUCGAUAGGAACUCCGGUGGCGAAGGCGGCAUACUGGACCACUACUGACGCUGAUGCGCGAAAGCCAGGGGAGCAAAGCGGG